GCGAAUGCUGACAUAAGUAACGAUAAAGCGGGUGAAAAGCCCGCUCGCCGGAAGACCAAGGGUUCCUGUCCAACGUUAAUCGGGGCAGGGUGAGUCGACCCCUAAGGCGAGGCCGAAAGGCGUAGUCGAUGGGAAACAGGUUAAUAUUCCUGUACUUGGUGUUACUGCGAAGGGGGGACGGAGAAGGCUAUGUUGGCCGGGCGACGGUUGUCCCGGUUUAAGCGUGUAGGCUGGUUUUCCAGGCAAAUCCGGAAAAUCAAGGCUGAGGCGUGAUGACGAGGCACUACGGUGCUGAAGCAACAAAUGCCCUGCUUCCAGGAAAAGCCUCUAAGCAUCAGGUAACAUCAAAUCGUACCCCAAACCGACACAGGUGGUCAGGUAGAGAAUACCAAGGCGCUUGAGAGAACUCGGGUGAAGGAACUAGGCAAAAUGGUGCCGUAACUUCGGGAGAAGGCACGCUGAUA
rnacentral:rRNA from 1 species